UACGGGGGGAGCAAGCGUUGUUCGGAUUUACUGGGCGUAAAGGGCGCGUAGGCGGUCAGCACAAGUCAGUUGUGAAAUCUCCGGGCUUAACUCGGAAAGGUCAACUGAUACUGUGCGACUAGAGUGCAGAAGGGGCAACUGGAAUUCUCGGUGUAGCGGUGAAAUGCGUAGAUAUCUGGAGGAACACCGGUGGCGAAGGCGGCAUCCUGGACCAAUACUGACACUGAGGAGCGAAAGCCAGGGGAGCAAAACGGG
rnacentral:rRNA from 1 species